rnacentral:antisense_RNA from 1 species
GCUUACGGGUGGGCCUUGGCGGGGAGGCCUUCGGGCCUGCCGGUUUGGUUUUGCGCCGGUCAGCCAACCUCGUCAUUGUGCCCGCCCACCCCA